GAUGAACGCUGGCGGCGUGCUUAACACAUGCAAGUCGAACGGUGAAGCAGGAGCUUGCCCUUGUGGAUCAGUGGCGAACGGGUGAGUAACACGUGAGCAACCUGCCCCUGACUCUGGGAUAAGCGCUGGAAACGGCGUCUAAUACUGGAUAUGUGAUGUGACCGCAUGGUCUGCAUCUGGAAAGAAUUUCGGUUGGGGAUGGGCUCGCGGCCUAUCAGCUUGUUGGUGAGGUAAUGGCUCACCAAGGCGUCGACGGGUAGCCGGCCUGAGAGGGUGACCGGCCACACUGGGACUGAGACACGGCCCAGACUCCUACGGGAGGCAGCAGUGGGGAAUAUUGCACUAUGGGCGGAAGCCUGAUGCAGCAACGCCGCGUGAGGGAUGACGGCCUUCGGGUUGUAAACUUCUUUUAGCAGGGAAGAAGCGAAAGUGACGGUACCUGCAGAAAAAGCACCGGCUAACUACGUGCCAGCAGCCGCGGUAA
rnacentral:rRNA from 1 species